UAGGUGGCCUAGUGGUUAGAGAGUCUGCCUCAGGUGCGGAAGGUUGCGGGUUUGAACCCCUGCCGUGUCAU